GAUGAACGCUCGCUACAGGCUUAACACAUGCAAGUCGAGGGGAAACGACAUCGAAAGCUUGCUUUUGAUGGGCGUCGACCGGCGCACGGGUGAGUAACGCGUAUCCAACCUGCCCAUCACUUGGGGAUAACCUUGCGAAAGUAAGACUAAUACCCAAUGAUAUCUCUAGAAGACAUCUGAAAGAGAUUAAAGAUUUAUCGGUGAUGGAUGGGGAUGCGUCUGAUUAGCUUGUUGGCGGGGUAACGGCCCGCCAAGGCAACGAUCAGUAGGGGUUCUGAGAGGAAGGUCCCCCACAUUGGAACUGAGACACGGUCCAAACUCCUACGGGAGGCAGCAGUGAGGAAGAUUGGUCAAUGGGCGAGAGCCUGAACCAGCUAAGUAGCGUGCAGGAAGACGGCCCUAUGGGUUGUAAACUGCUUUUAUAAGGGAAUAAAGUGAGAGUCGUGACUCUUUUUGUAUGUACCUGAUGAAUAAGGACCGGCUAAUUCCGUG
rnacentral:rRNA from 1 species